UACAGAGGGUGCAAGCGUUAAUCGGAAUUACUGGGCGUAAAGCGUGCGUAGACGGUUACAUAAGUCAGGUGUGAAAGCCCCGGGCUCAACCUGGGAAUUGCAUUUGAGACUGUGUAGCUAGGGUGCGGAAGAGGGAAGCGGAAUUUCCGGUGUAGCGGUGAAAUGCGUAGAUAUCGGAAGGAACACCAGUGGCGAAAGCGGCUUCCUGGUCCAGCACCGACGUUCAGGCACGAAAGCGUGGGGAGCAAACAGG
rnacentral:rRNA from 1 species